GACAGAGGGUGCAAACGUUGCUCGGAAUUACUGGGCGUAAAGCGCGUGUAGGCGGAUCGGAAAGUCGGGCGUGAAAUCCCCAGGCUCAACCUGGGAACUGCACUCGAAACUCCCGGUCUUGAGUGGUGGAGAGGGAAGUGGAAUUCCUGGUGUAGAGGUGAAAUUCGUAGAUAUCAGGAGGAACACCAGUGGCGAAGGCGGCUUCCUGGACACCAACUGACGCUGAGACGCGAAGGCGUGGGGAGCAAACAGG
rnacentral:rRNA from 1 species